AGUGAACGCUGGCGGUAGGCCUAACACAUGCAAGUCGAACGGCAGCACAGUAAGAGCUUGCUCUUACGGGUGGCGAGUGGCGGACGGGUGAGGAAUACAUCGGAAUCUACUUUUUCGUGGGGGAUAACGUAGGGAAACUUACGCUAAUACCGCAUACGACCUACGGGUGAAAGCAGGGGAUCUUCGGACCUUUCGCGAUGGAAUGAGCCGAUGUCGGAUUAGCUAGUUGGCGGGGUAAAGGCCCACCAAGGCGACGAUCCGUAGCUGGUCUGAGAGGAUGAUCAGCCACACUGGAACUGAGACACGGUCCAGACUCCUACGGGAGGCAGCAGUGGGGAAUAUUGGACAAUGGGCGAAAGCCUGAUCCAGCCAUACCGCGUGGGUGAAGAAGGCCUUCGGGUUGUAAAGCCCUUUUGUUGGGAAAGAAAAGCAGCAGGUUAAUACCCCGCUGUUCUGACGGUACCCAAAGAAUAAGCACCGGCUAACUUCGUG
rnacentral:rRNA from 1 species